CCUACGGGAGGCUGCAGUGGGGGAUAUUGGACAAUGGGGGGAACCCUGAUCCAGCGACGCCGCGUGAGUGAAGAAGUAUUUCGGUAUGUAAAGCUCUGUCAGCAGGGAAGAAAGAAAUGACGGUACCUGACCAAGAAGCCCCGGCUAACUACGUGCCAGCAGCCGCGGUAAUACGUAGGGGGCAAGCGUUAUCCGGAAUUACUGGGUGUAAAGGGAGCGUAGACGGUUAAGUAAGUCUGGAGUGAAAGGCCGGGGCCCAACCCCGGGACUGCUCUGGAAACUAUUGAACUUGAGUGCAGGGGAGGUAAGCGGAAUUCCUAGUGUAGCGGUGAAAUGCGUAGAUAUUAGGAGGAACACCAGUGGCGAAGGCGGCUUACUGGACUGUAACUGACGUUGAGGCUCGAAAGCGUGGGGAGCAAACAGGAUUAGAUACCCCGGUAGUC
rnacentral:rRNA from 1 species